GAUGAACGCUGGCGGCGUGCUUAACACAUGCAAGUCGAACGGAAAGGCUCCUGCUUGCAGGGGUACUCGAGUGGCGAACGGGUGAGUAACACGUGGGUGAUCUGCCCUGCACUUCGGGAUAAGCCUGGGAAACUGGGUCUAAUACCGGAUAGGACGAUGGUUUGGAUGCCAUUGUGGAAAGUUUUUCGGUGUGGGAUGAGCUCGCGGCCUAUCAGCUUGUUGGUGGGUUAAUGGCCUACCAAGGCGUCGACGGGUAGCCGGCCUGAGAGGGUGUACGGUCACAUUGGGACUGAGAUACGGCCCAGACGCCUACGGGAGGCAGCAGUGGGGAAUAUUGCACAAUGGGCGCAAGCCUGAUGCAGCGACGCCGCGUGGGGGAUGACGGUCUUCGGGUUGUAAACUCCUUUCGCUAGGGACGAAGCGCAAGUGACGGUACCUGGAGAAGAAGCACCGGCUAACUACGUG
rnacentral:rRNA from 1 species